rnacentral:rRNA from 1 species
CUUGCUUUUGAUUAUUUUAGCGGCGGACGGGUGAGUAACGUGUGGGUAACCUGCCUUUUACUGGGGAAUAAUCACUGGAAACGGUGACUAAUACCGCAUACGGUUCUUGGAAGGCAUCUUCUAGGAAAGAAAGGAUUUAUUCGGUAAAAGAUGGGCCCGCAUCUGAUUAGCUGGUUGGUGAGGUAACGGCUCACCAAGGCGACGAUACAUAGGGGGACUGAGAGGUUAACCCCCCACAUUGGUACUGAGACACGGACCAAACUCCUACGGAAGGCAGCAG